CACGUGGUAUCCUGUCUGAAUAUGGGGGGACCAUCCUCCAAGGCUAAAUACUCCUGACUGACCGAUAGUGAACCAGUACCGUGAGGGAAAGGCGAAAAGAACCCCGGCGAGGGGAGUGAAAAAGAACCUGAAACCGUGUACGUACAAGCAGUGGGAGCACGCUUAGGCGUGUGACUGCGUACCUUUUGUAUAAUGGGUCAGCGACUUAUAUUCUGUAGCAAGGUUAACCGAAUAGGGGAGCCGAAGGGAAACCGAGUCUUAACUGGGCGUUAAGUUGCAGGGUAUAGACCCGAAACCCGGUGAUCUAGCCAUGGGCAGGUUGAAGGUUGGGUAACACUAACUGGAGGACCGAACCGACUAAUGUUGAAAAAUUAGCGGAUGACUUGUGGCUGGGGGUGAAAGGCCAAUCAAACCGGGAGAUAGCUGGUUCUCCCCGAAAGCUAUUUAGGUAGCGCCUCGUGAAUUCAUCUCCGGGGGUAGAGCACUGUUUCGGCAAGGGGGUCAUCCCGACUUACCAACCCGAUGCAAACU
rnacentral:rRNA from 1 species